rnacentral:tRNA from 1 species
AAAAAAGGACCAAAAAAAAAUCGAAAAAAUCACGAUUUUUUCGACUUUUUUU